GAGUUUGAUCCUGGCUCAGGAUGAAUGAAAGCGGCAGGCCUAAUACAUGCAAGACGAACGGUAAGUGGAGUAGCAAUACUUCGCCUAGAGUGUCGUAAGGGUGCGUAACACGUAUGCAAUCUGCCCGGAACUGGAGGAUAGCUCGCCGAAAGGCGAAUUAACACUCCAUAGGAUGGUAGGGAGGCAUCUCCCCGUCAUUAAAACUACGGUGGUUUCGGAUGAGCAUGCGGAUGAUUAGCUAGUUGGUGAGGUAACGGCUCACCAAGGCGAUGAUCAAUAGGGGAACUGAGAGGUUGAUCCCCCACACUGGCACUGAGAUACGGGCCAGACUCCUACGGGAGGCAGCAGUAGGGAAUAUUGGACAAUGGUUGCAAGACUGAUCCAGCCAUGCCGCGUGCAGGAAGAAGGCUUUCUGAGUUGUAAACUGCUUUUGCCAGGGGAUAAAAAGUCCCUGCGGGGAAAAUUGAAGGUACCUGGUGAAUAAGCCACGGCUAACUACGUGCCAGCAGCCGCGGUAAUACGUAGGUGGCAAGCGUUGUCCGGAUUUAUUGGGUUUAAAGGGUGCGUAGGCGGUCCAGUAAGUCAGUUGUGAAAUACGGCAGCUUAACUGUCGAGGUGCAAUUGAUACUGCAGGACUAGAGUACUGAUGAGGUAAGCGGAAUGGACGGUGUAGCGGUGAAAUGCUUAGAUAUCGUCCAGAACACCGAUAGCGAAGGCAGCUUACUAAGGAGUAACUGACGCUGAGGCACGAAAGUGUGGGGAUCAAACAGGAUUAGAUACCCUGGUAGUCCACACUGUAA
rnacentral:rRNA from 1 species